GACGUAGGGGCCGAGCGUUGUUCGGAGUUACUGGGCGUAAAGGGUGCGCAGGCGGUGGAGCAAGUCUGUUGUGAAAUCUCCCGGCUUAACCGGGAGGGUGCGGCGGAAACUGUUCUGCUGGAGUGAGGGAGAGGCAAGCGGAAUUCCUGGUGUAGCGGUGAAAUGCGUAGAUAUCAGGAGGAACACCCGUGGUGCAGACGGCUUGCUGGACCUCCACUGACGCUGAGGCACGAAAGCGUGGGGAGCAAACAGG
rnacentral:rRNA from 1 species